AAAGCUCAAAUUUGAAAUCUGGCAUCUUUUGGUGUCUGAGUUGUAAUUUAGAGGGGCAUUUUCAGGUUCAACACUAUUCUAAGUUCUUUGGAACAGGACAUCAUAGAGGGUGAGAAUCCCGUGCCUGGGUAGUUGUUUGAUCCUAUGUGAAGUGUCUCCGACGAGUCGAGUUGUUUGGGAAUGCAGCUCAAAAUGGGUGGUAAAUUUCAUCUAAAGCUAAAUAUUGGCGAGAGACCGAUA
rnacentral:rRNA from 1 species